rnacentral:tRNA from 1 species
GCUUUAAUAGUUUAAAUAAAACACUGGUCUUGUAAACCAAUAUUGAAAUAUAUUUCUUAUAGCU